AACGAACGCUGGCGGCAGGCCUAACACAUGCAAGUCGAGCGCUGUAGCAAUACAGAGCGGCGCACGGGAUAAUAACGCGUGGGAACCUACCUUAUGGUUCGGAAUAACAUCGGGAAACUGGUGCUAAUACCGGAUAAGCCCUUCGGGGGAAAGAUUUAUUGCCAUUAGAUGGGCCCGCGUUAGAUUAGCUAGUUGGUGAGGUAACGGCUCACCAAGGCGACGAUCUAUAGCUGGUCUGAGAGGAUGAUCAGCAUCACUGGGACUGAGACACGGCCCAGACUCCUACGGGAGGCAGCAGUGGGGAAUAUUGGACAAUGGGGGAAACCCUGAUCCAGCCAUGCCGCGUGAAUGAUGAAGGCCUUCGGGUUGUAAAGUUCUUUUGACGGGGACGAUGAUGACGGUACCCGUAGAAUAAGCUCCGGCUAACUUCGUGCCAGCCGCCGCUGUA
rnacentral:rRNA from 1 species